rnacentral:lncRNA from 1 species
GACUUCGAAAGUCUACGGAACAAACUUUCUACUUUUGAUUAACUCGCCGCUACUUCUUACCCGUCUACGUACCCUCUCUUUCUCGAUUUGACCCUUCCAUGUACCCGACAUUGAUUCCCAAGCAGAAGGAGGAUCUUACAACUACAUCAUUUAUUAUAUUAUUAUCUAAUCUUACAACACUUAAGAAACCAAUGAGAAUGACAGAAGCCUGCUAAACAAGCACAGAUGGGUAAAUAACCACAGAAAUAGGUAAAGGAAUGGAAGCACAUCUUGCACCUUCUAUGAUCAUUCAACCAGCCUGAAAGAUGAUAGAUAGCCCUUUAGCAAGGAGAUAUCGCACUACAAGCCGGAUUAGGUCUUAUAAUCAAGACAGAUUUUACAGCGGAUUUCCCCUUUGAGAAACCUUUAACACGCCCUGACGCUUAAGAAUAGAUGGCCAUAGUUGCGACAUCCUAGCUAGAGAAGAGCAACAGGAGCUAUAUUCAAGGAAGUUGUGGACUGGAAUCAGAGAUUGGAUGGACAUCCGAUAGAGGGAAAGAGGAUGCUAACAAGGCUAGCUCACGAAAGAAAGCCUUGCAACUACGCUAUAUAUUGAUAUUGCAACUGCGCAAAUAAGGGCACAUCCGCUUUCUCUGUAUGUGGAUUUGGGAGUCGCACUGAUCGACAUAAAGAGCUAAACUGAGUAGAUGGAAAAUAAGAAGCAAAAGCUUUCGCAAUUACGGUUGUCAUUUGUAGAAACUCUUUUUUUCUGUAUUUGGUACUUGUACUCUAUGUCAGUCUCAUUAGUUAAUAGUAGAGCUCAGCUGGACUAAGCGAGGCAGUACUGUGAGCCAUAUCCGAGACCAUUAGCAUUAAUCCCCUCUCACCAAAGCCUCCGAACUUGCCAACAAGUGGCCUAUUCCUCCAGUACAGGUCUCUAUCAACUAACUCAAGCACUAAAUAGAGGUGGGGCAGGACAUCGAUAGACAAUAGACCAAGAAGCGAAAGCCGCUCAGUUGCGUGCUAAAUCGAAGAGAGCAGAAGGUACCUCGCCUAACAUUAUAGGAGAUAGGCUGAAACCACUCAAUUCUUCUUUGUGAAAUUGAAGAACAAAUGGGCGGGCAACUUAGACUCUUUCCCGAAGGGAGCUCGAACCAAUAGAUGAGAUUAGAGAUGCUUACAUAACUGGGGCAGGAGACAUAUCUUUAAGAACCAAGAACGGGAUAUUCGCAUUUGCAGAAGGAGGAGAGCGAAGAGAUGAGCACUUUUAAAGCGGCUUUCCUUAACGAAGUCAUGUAUGUGACCAAUGCACGCUUCAAAGAAAGCAAAGAGGGAUGUACGCUCGCUAGCAGCUCAAGGGGAUUGAAGACCAAGGCAGGGCUCUUGUUGACAAAGAAGGUCUAAAAAGGAAAAUGAACGCAUUUGAAGGUAACCACCCUACUAGUAGAAAGACCUAUCGGACCUGUGAAAGUCUCGUUUUUUACUAAUAAACACGGGCUUUGCCAAGUGGCCCCUUCUUCCAGUUGUUAGUAGGAUGGAUGUCCCUCCGUCAGUGCCUUUUAAGCCUUAGUCCGGGCAAUUGAUAUUUGAGUUAGGGGGACUUCCUUUUUGACUUCCUUCAGGAGUUGACUUCCCUUUGUGGGAUGAGCUUGACAUGGUGAAAAGAGGUGCAAGCUUGGAAGGAUCUUUCUUUACCCAGGGGUUUGAAAACCUUGGUAGAGUGGAAGAAAGCUGCGGUUAUGCAGCAUAAUAUGGGUGAUAGCUGCCCGAUCCCUGAUGAACUGCGAAGGAGAACUCCUGAGGGGCAUUAUAAUUAGGAUUUAGAGUGGAACUCUAGGUUCUUGCUGAAGAGCUAGUUCCGACUUUUCCUCUUGUUUGGUAAGGACCACCUUUUCGAGUGGAAAACUCAUUCAUUCAUUCAAUGACCUACUUUCUCUAUUAAAAACAGCUUUGAAAACCUCCGGUAAUGUCCCACAUGAAAUUUCCAAUAUCUUUCGUUAUGAGAGCAUUAAGCCGAAUUAUAUGGAAUGGUCACAGAUUGAACAAGACUCAAUCAACGAGUGCCAGAAAGAAUGAUUAAUGAAAGAUAAAAUCACCAACCAGAAACAAAUACAAGUGACGAAUUAACUCCGCAACUGCCUUCAGGCGAGGUUUGGAG